UACACAGGUAUUAUAGUAAGUACAGUGUAUGAGUACACUGGCCACCUCUGCCGUGGUGAAAUAUGUUCUGUCGUGUUCAGAGGUCUGCAUAUGAAAGGAUGUCGAGCUCCUUUCCGAGAAACUGUCAAAGAGAAGAUCUAAAAUCUCUGCCCCCUCCGCCUCCUCCUCCUCGUCCUCUCUUUCUCUUUUUCCCCCGCUAAUACGUUCCAUAUUGUGAGUUUAAAUGGGGUGGAUUCAGGAAAUGCAGUCACACUGCGUUGCCUUCCAAGCUUCCAGUCUGAGGUUUGGCGUGCAGCGCCAGCGGUUGAGUGCAGGCGGGCUGAUUGGGUGCUGUUCAUGUGGCCUUCCCUCCUCCUCCUUCUCCUCGACAUGUCCACGUUGCCGCUUCUCUUUCGCCUCGACUCUGUUGUGAGAGGGGAGCAGACAUGACUUGUUGGCGAAAGCAGCAUCUCAGAGAAGGUGGAAGAUGAGUGAGGAGGCUGCAGAGAAAGAGAAAAGCUGUCCAGUGACAACUCUGCUCCAGGGACAUGACGGUGCAUGCUCCACCAGAUGGUGCUGUUUUUCGAUCCAACGAGCAAGUCAAUUCUACCAACCCACCGACUUUGGAAGAACUUGAAGGGCGAAUACGAGAAGUUAUGAAGAGUUCCUACCUUGUGAAAUCAGUUAAUGCGGUUCCCAGGCGGCUUGAGAAACUGGUGGCUAAUGCUGGCGCCCAUAUUGAAUUUUAAAUAAAACUCCAUGCAAUACACUUUCUUCUCAUGUUCAUGUCUUGUAAGAAUUAUAGGGUACUUAAAGAUAGGGAUAUAUAUUAUAUAUAUAUAUAUAUAUCCAUCCAUUUUCUGAGCCGCUUCUCCUCACUAGGGUCGCGGGCGUGCUGGAGCCUAUCCCAGCUGUCAUCGGGCAGGAGGCGGGGUACACCCUGAACUGGUUGCCAGCCAAUCGCAGUAUAUAUAUAUAUAUAUAUAUAAAUUUUCUAAACCUAUACUUAAUAUCUCUCUCACUGAACUGUAUUUUGUUCUGUUUCAUUUCAGUGUGUUAUGUUCUAUUUAUGCUUUUGAUUGAUCUAUGUAAUUUAUUCUUUAUUAUUUUUAUCUACUUGAUAAAAGCACAAUUCAUGAUA